UGAAAAUGACCGAGUCGGCUAAGUUCGCAACGUCCUGUUGCAACGCCGACACUAGCACGUCCUGUGCG
rnacentral:sRNA from 1 species